UAGAGUUUGAUCCCUGGCUCAGGACGAACGCUGGCGGCGUGCCUAAUACAUGCAAGUCGAGCGAACAGAAGGGAGCUUGCUCCCGGAUGUUAGCGGCGGACGGGUGAGUAACACGUGGGUAACCUGCCUGUAAGACUGGGAUAACUCCGGGAAACCGGAGCUAAUACCGGAUAGUUCCUUGAACCGCAUGGUUCAAGGAUGAAAGACGGUUUCGGCUGUCACUUACAGAUGGACCCGCGGCGCAUUAGCUAGUUGGUGGGGUAAUGGCUCACCAAGGCGACGAUGCGUAGCCGACCUGAGAGGGUGAUCGGCCACACUGGGACUGAGACACGGCCCAGACUCCUACGGGAGGCAGCAGUAGGGAAUCUUCCGCAAUGGACGAAAGUCUGACGGAGCAACGCCGCGUGAGUGAUGAAGGUUUUCGGAUCGUAAAGCUCUGUUGUUAGGGAAGAACAAGUGCGAGAGUAACUGCUCGCACCUUGCGGACCAACCA
rnacentral:rRNA from 1 species